CAGCAGCCGCGGUAAACCGUAGGGGACGAGCGUUAUCCGGAUUUACUGGGCGUAAAGAGCGUUGAGGCGGUUCCGUAAGUUGGGCGUUAAAACCCCGGGCUCAACUCGGGGAGGUCGUUCAAUACUGCGGAACUUGAGGGCAGCAGAGGAAAGUGGAAUUCCCGGU
rnacentral:rRNA from 1 species